rnacentral:lncRNA from 1 species
UUGGGAGAGGAAGGUGUGGAAGAAAGGGCGGGGAAGGGAGUUGGGCUGCGAGACGCGGUGACGUGAGGGUGGAACCGAAAUAGGGUGUUUGGAACUAUCCUUGGCCGCUGCUCCCAGGCUGACCUUCCCCUGCAGCGGGGAAGGGGAGGAGGCGUCAGCUGCAGGCCCGGCACGACUCCAGGCGAUGACAUGGGUCGAGCUCUGCCAACUCUGGCCUGGUACUUUUCCAAGAGGACAUAGAAGAGGAGAGGAUGGCAGCUGUGCCCCUAACAGCCAGAUGGCAGGUGAGUUGGACUUUCUUCAGUCUGGAGUUUCCUUGCCAGCCUUGGAGAUUGGUCCCAUGUUGGUAGACAUGGGGCUCUGUAGAGGAGACUAGUACCCUUUCUGGCUUCCGAUUCUCUCCCUUCUCACCAUACAACAAAGCUGUAGGGAUCUUCCUUCUGAAUGGCCCUUCAUAAAGCCUUGGUGACCAGCCCUGCCAUGUGUUUUAUAAUGGUUGGGGAGCAGAGGAUUGAGGCAGCUCUGCC